rnacentral:snRNA from 1 species
GUAAUUACCUGGCAGGCGAAACACCAUGACCAACCAGGUGGUUUUCCCAGGGCGAGGGUCGCCCCCAGCGUUCCGGGCCUGAUGACCCCUGCGAUUUCCCCAAAUGCGGGAAACUCGGCUGCACAAUUUGUGGUAGUGGGGGGGCUGUGUCCGCGCUCUUCUCCC